AAAGCGGGUGGCUCCGCCCUGGUGCGGCCGGGCCUGCGGAGCGGCGUGAGGGGUACGGAGCAUGGAGCACGGGAAAUGGGACACGGGGCACCGUGGGAUCAGGGGUGCUGAGGGCUCGGAGUGUGUGGGGACGGCGGCACGGAGCGUGAGGGGACGCGGAAGCGGCUCUGGAGGCCGGUUGAGGAGGGUCCUGAUGACAUCUUUAUAUUGAUUUCUCCCCUUCUAUGGAGAAGGAAACAUCUGUGGGGAAUGUAUACCUAGGAGCAUGGCAUAGUGGUUUUCCCUUAACAGGAGAAGCCACUUUAUUUCUGUUAAGGAAGUAACAAAACCUCAGUUGCUUCAUGUUUUAAUUUUUGAGCACUGCCUAGAUGAGCUGUGAAUGUGCCUUAGGUUCACUAAAGAAUUUUUAAAUUACUUGCAAAUCAAGUCCUGGCAGUGAGAUACUGAAGAACUCCAGUGGUGCUGUUAAUGUUGAUGAAAUUGUACUGAGCAACACCAAAGCAUCCUGAGGGCAUAUGUGGUACAUGACUCUAUAAUCACAAAUUAGCAUGUGAAGAAGGAUAUUGGAGAUUUUUAUCUUCUGAAGCAGAGCUAAAGUGGAGGGAAAAUGAGAUGCCUGGCUCAGUGGAUUAAAUGUUAGAGAAGAUAUCUCUUAAUCUGGAAAGCCCAGAGUGGGGUCCUGUACUUUGUGCAGCAAACUUUGCUCUUGUAUUCUCUAAGCACUGUCACUGUGAUAUCUGGAGCACUGCUGCUCCCUAGAGUCAGGAAAACAACCUUCCAUCCUGAAAAAAAUCAGGUGUCAAGCAAGAGCCAGCCAUGUCACAGAGCUUUUCUUUCCUCCUGUGUUCAGUGGAAGGAUGUUUUGUUCUGAUAUGAAUGUGCUACAUGACUGGGACUGAAUAAUUGCAAUGUAAUGCUCAGACAUUAAAGAUUCUCAGCCUACAAAAUGCUAAUCUUACAUCCACUUCCAGCACAUGGAAAGGUGAAAGCAGCUUUAGUCUUGUCUCUCUUAUGUAAAUACAGCCCCC